GAUGAACGCUAGCUACAGGCUUAACACAUGCAAGUCGAGGGGUAACGAGAGGGAAGCUUGCUUUCCUUGUCGACGACCGGCGCACGGGUGAGUAACGCGUAUCCAACCUGCCCCCAACUAGGGAAUAACCUUGCGAAAGUAAGACUAAUACCCUAUAAUUUCCUCAGAUGUCAUCUGACGAGGAAUAAAGAUUUAUCGGUUGUGGAUGGGGAUGCGUCUGAUUAGCUUGUUGGCGGGGUAACGGCCCACCAAGGCAACGAUCAGUAGGGGUUCUGAGAGGAAGGGCCCCCACAUUGGAACUGAGACACGGUCCAAACUCCUACGGGAGGCAGCAGUGAGGAAUAUUGGUCAAUGGGCGGAAGCCUGAACCAGCCAAGUAGCGUGCAGGAUGACGGCCCUAUGGGUUGUAAACUGCUUUUAUACAGGAAUAAAGUUAGCCACGUGUGGUUAUUUGUAGGUACUGUAUGAAUAAGGACCGGCUAAUUCCGUGCCAGCCGCCGCCGCAG
rnacentral:rRNA from 1 species